UACGUAGGGUGCGAGCGUUAAUCGGAAUUACUGGGCGUAAAGCGUGCGCAGGCGGUGAGCUGUGUCUGAUGUGAAAGCCCCGGGCUUAACCUGGGAAUGGCAUUGGAAACUGGCUCGCUGGAGUGUGGCAGAGGGGGGUGGAAUUCCGCGUGUAGCAGUGAAAUGCGUAGAGAUGUGGAGGAACACCGAUGGCGAAGGCAGCCCCCUGGGUCAAGAUUGACGCUCAUGCACGAAAGCGUGGGGAGCAAACAGG
rnacentral:rRNA from 1 species